UAGCAAUCAAACUCAAACAAGAGCAUUUCCCCAAAUCAUAAUGAGGUUAUUUAUGUAUUUAUGUCUUAAUUUACUCUUUAGCACUUGUAAGACAGACCACUUCAGCAAUGGACUCAUCUAAAAAAAAAAAAAAAAAACCAGACUGAGGAAGAUCAAAGGAGUCUUCAUAAGGUUUCAUAUCUAUCGGGCAGAAAGACAAAGCAAAACCACGUAGCUGUGACUUCAAAGCGGCUGCAGGAAGGUUUAGCUUACACGUGAGACGUGUUCCAGCUUUGAUGCACAAACAGUUUGUCACCGUGAGAGUCAUCAACAGACAAAGUCAUCACAAAGGUCCUCAUCCGAAGCCUCAAGCAGCAGUUUGGAUAAACCAGUCAUUUUGGCAGCACGUGGCCUUGACAGAGCUGCAGUCAUCAAAGUCCUAAGUUUGGAGCCAGAUGACACUGAUCACCUACAAAGCAAGACCGUGAUCAAAAUUACCAGAAAUGUCAGCUAACAUAGUAACCAACAAGAAUGCCACAGGAAUGAUAAUGAUAUUCUCCAAACUUCUGGAUUUCUGAGAAAGUGAUCUCGGCUGUACAGUUCAUGUGCUGGAGGAGGAAAAUAGUGGUGCUGUCAACGGCAUGGAAAGGACGAGGGCACAAUGGUAAAGUGCUGCCAGAGCGAUGGUGGCUGAGACGCAGCGGAGCGGAGGUGUAAGUGCCUGGCUUAAAACAGUUGCAUUUAACCUUCAGUUACUCUGUAUAGGUAGGAGUCAGACCAUGUUUCUUUUUAGCUGAAAAACAUUACACCAGGUAACCUGCACUUGUUUUCCGACGAUGUUUGCUACCCUACAAUCCGUCCUGCUCUGUAGUAAAAUCAGCGACAUUUGACCGUCCUGUUGCUCCCUUUGAAAUGUAUAUAGCCAAUUUAAAAUCUAAAACUUAAAAUUGUCCGUAGCCUACUGUUGUUACCACUGUCCUGUUUGUAAUGGAUACUAACUAGCUAACUGACUGAAUGCCCAUUAACCUUAUAACUCCUGUUGUGUGUGUGUGUGUGUGUGUGUGUGUGUGUGUGUGUGUGUGUGUGUGUGUGUGUGUGUACAGAGAGACAAUUCAUAAUGGAUAUAAGGAAAUUUUUUCAAAAAAAGGAGCCACAUUCAGGUAAAAGUGUAAAAUCAAAUGAUCAGUCAAUAAAGGAUUAUGUUGGAUCAGUUUUUCAAUAUUUAUAUCUUUUAUUAGAUGUUCAUGUUGUUUGGUUAUUUGCCUUUUGGUUGAAAGUACACUGAGAGAGGACUUUUUGUUGGUGAUCUUAAUAGCAUUUUUUUCAUAUUAAUGUAAUUUUUUCAUCUAAUUGAAUACAAUCUAUUUGUGUAUGAUUGUCAGUCCAAAGAGGGAGAGAGGAAAGAGGGGAACAUGAGGAGAAAGUACAAGGUCAGGAAGAACCAGGUAAGAAAACAGACAGGGAACAGUGACAGGCAAAACAGAAACUGUUAAACUGACAAAGAGAAAAAACCUGAUUUUACUCAUACAGUCUGGAAGUUGUGUCCUCCCUAUAUUAAAGCUGCUAUACAGAAUCUGCAAAACAAACUGGGUUGAAACAUUUUUGACCCUCUUUAACAACAUUCCAACAUAACAUUAUCAUUGAUUGGGGAGAUUAAAAUUAAUGACAUAUUUUUAUGUGGUUCAGCCACAACUCUACUAACAUCUCAGCCAGUAAUAGUUAGGCCAACUCUUGGACCGCCCAGUUGUCUGUAUGACUGCAGUACGUGCACCACAUUUGCGCACUGAAUCAGAAAGUGACAAACAGCCCUGGUGGAGUGAGGAGCUGUAAAGAGAAGCAGAGUGCUCUGUUUAUAUUCUAAAAGUGUUUUAAGCUAGCUUGUUUCAAAGAUUCUGUACUGCAGCUUUAAAUGUUUUCCAAAAGCACACAUACACUUAUCAGUGUUUCUCAAACUUUUUACAGUGUGUACCAUUGGGAAAAUGUCAAGUUCUCCCAAGUACCACUAUGAAAGCAUGAAACUCAUAAAUCUUACAACACAAAAUUAGUCUUAUUGAAUUAGUCAAAUUAGUAUCGGCAGUAAAGAUUUUUUCAUAUAUUGUAUACAUUCUACCACAGGCAAAGUUGCCUCCAUUUUUAUAUUUUUUAAUUAAUAUUUUGUAAUAAUUUAUUUGUAAUAACUUAUGUUUUGGGAGUAUUUUUUUAUGUAUCUGUAUUAUAUUAUACAUACUCAUUAAAAGUGAAUCUCUGUCCAAAAUAUGCACUCAGUUUACUUUUUACUCACUAUGAGCAUCAUUCAUUAUUCUCCCCCAGUAAUUAAGGAUAGGAUAUGGUUUUUUUUUUUAUUCCAAUCCAUUCUUCUUUUGCAGCAUUUAAAUAACCUUUAUCAGAUUUGAUGGUUUUGUUACAGCCUUUUAAAAAGGUGUUUUGCUUUUCUUUCACAAAUGUGGGGAUUAAAUUGUGUUAAAAUGUACAAAACAGUGAUGUCAUGUUUUGUGACGAGGACCCAGGCACAGAGAGACUUGAUGAAUUUAAGAAUCUUAUGAUUUAAUAAAGAAAUUUACAGACUUGCACAGAGAUGGUAAAAUUAUGAUGACUGAUAACAGAGACGAAGACAACACACAGCGAGGACUGGGAGAAACAGGGGUUUAAAUGCACCAAGGAGACAGUCAUAGAGAACUCGGGACAACUGGAGACAUUUAAGUAUGCAGGGACUGACAGAGACGGGGAAGAAGUCUCAUCGUGAUGUGUAAAGUUUAUUUUGCCUGGCUGGGCAGCUCUCUGGGUGCUCAGCACCCCCAAAGCUCUGAUCCUAGAAUCGCCCCUGACUACAUCCAGGACAGAAACAACUGCAUUAUGCUGCUAACACAACUUUGGCUUUUUGCAAGCACCUGCACAGACAGCAUGCUAACGCUAAUCCAGCCAAGAACUCAGAAUGAUGUUAAAGCUGAGUGAAUGGCGACCCCAGCCCAGCAGCCAGACGCUAAAGUUUAACAGGUAACAAAAGCAGUGAUGAGCAUUCAGACUAUAGCCUCCAUUUCUACCUGCUCAUGUUUCUAGAUUAGAAUCACUGCGGCAGUCACUUUUAAGAAAAGUGUUCUGUGUAAUAAAUUACUGUUUUGAGUAACAAUAAGUGAUUAGUGAUAUUGAAAAUGGAAUCGGAAUUAUUCGAUUCUUAUCUAUUCCUGUCCCCACACAGUGCUGUUCAUUCUUUCUGGCCAGAUAGACUGUUUGUCCUUGUUAUGUUUAAUCUGUUUGUCUCCUUUGUUCAUUUAUUUUUUAGUCAAG
ensembl:lncRNA